GUGAACCUCCACACCCUUUCUCUCAAGAGUGUUUGCUACUCAGCAGGAUCCUCAGGCCUCCAGCUAUAGAAAUACGACUUCUGUUUGUAAAAGAUAUUGAACCUGAAGUAGUGACUGGUGGAGACUGA
rnacentral:lncRNA from 1 species